rnacentral:tRNA from 1 species
GGCGGCGUAGCUCAGCCUGGCAGAGCAAGCGGCUCAUACCCGCUAUGUCGAAGGUUCGAAUCCUUCCGCCGUCACCA